UACGUAGGUGGCAAGCGUUGUCCGGAUUUACUGGGCGUAAAGCGAGUGUAGGCGGUUGUCCAAGUUGGAUGUGAAAGCCUUGAGCUCAACUCAAGAAAUGCAUUCAGGACUGGAUGGCUAGAGGACCGGAGAGGAUAGUGGAAUUCCCAGUGUAGUGGUGAAAUACGUAGAGAUUGGGAAGAACACCAGUGGCGAAGGCGGCUAUCUGGACGGUUUCUGACACUAAGACGCGAAAGCGUGGGGAGCAAACAGG
rnacentral:rRNA from 1 species